CACGUAGGGCGCAAGCGUUGUCCGGAAUUAUUGGCGUAAAGAGCUCGUAGGUGGUUUGUUACGUCUGCUGUGAAAACCUAGGGCUUAACCCUGGGCUUGCAGUGGAUACGGGCAGACUAGAGGUAGGUAGGGGAGAAUGGAAUUCCUGGUGUAGCGGUGAAAUGCGCAGAUAUCAGGAGGAACACCGGUGGCGAAGGCAGCCCCCUGGGUCAAGAUUGACGCUCAUGCACGAAAGCGUGGGGAGCAAACAGG
rnacentral:rRNA from 1 species